ACGCUCGACACCUACGGAAGGCAGCAGUGGGGAAUAUUGGGCAAUGGGCGAAAGCCUGACCCAGCAACGCCGCGUGAGGGAAGAAGGUUUUCGGAUUGUAAACCUCUGUCCUCAGGGACGAAGGACGUGACGGUACCUGAGGAGGAAGCCCCGGCUAACUACGUGCCAGCAGCCGCGGUAAUCUGAGGCGGGCUGGCAAGGC
rnacentral:rRNA from 1 species